rnacentral:rRNA from 1 species
UAGUCCACGCAGUAAACGAUGAGUGCUAGAUGUUGGGUGUAUACUCAGUGUCACAGCUAACGCGUUAAGCACUCCGCCUGGGAAGUACGAUCGCAAGAUUAAAACUCAAAGGAAUUGACGGGGACCUGCACAAGCGGUGGAACAUGUGGUUUAAUUCGACAAUACGCGAAGAACCUUACCAAGAUUUGACAUACUUAUCGUAUUCUGGUGAAAGCCGGAAGUCAGCUAGGCUGGAUAAGUACAGGUGUUGCAUGGCUGUCGUCAGCUCGUGUCGUGAGAUGUUGGGUUAAGUCCCGCAACGAGCGCAACCCUCAUCCUUAGUUACCAUCAGGUAAUGCUGGGCACUCUAAGGAAACUGCCGGCGAUAAACCGGAGGAAGGUGAGGACGACGUCAAGUCAUCAUGGCCCUUACAUCUUGGGCUACACACGUGUUACAAUGGUGGUUACAAAGAGCAGCAAACAGGCGACUGUGAGCCAAUCUCAAAAAACCAUA